AGCAGCACCUGAUCAUGGAACUAGCGAUGUGAGAGCUUGGACUUGCACCAUCCACCUGUGGAGAGGUUGUCAUUAACACAUCUACCAGAGUACUCCUGGGAGGAGCUCAUCUGCUCCAGAGCACCACAACAAUGUAUAGAGAAACAGCUCCACAGGUGAUGUCAUUUGGGUGUGCUGGUUACCCAGGGUGCUCCAUGGCCAUUCAGUGCCCAGCAGCACUUCUUUCCCUUGUCUGGCCCAGCUCCUGUGAUCCUGUCAUGGUGAUUACCACUUGGAUGCUAGUAGACUUAGGUGAGUAGGGAACAGAUGGGGGCAAAGGGCUCUCUCCUGCAGGGGUGGUGGCCCCUGGUGAGGCCACAAAGCCUGCCAAGUUUCAAGGAGAUCAGUGCAGGGGUUUUGGGGCAACUGUACCCCAAAUUCUUGAAAGCAAAACUCCUGUCAUGUCUAUAUGUUACACCACAGAGGGGUUAAAACUGCAGGGAUAGUAGCUCUUACUGAGGCCAUGAAGCCUGCCAAGUUUCAAGAAGAUCGGUGCAGGGGUUUGGGGGAACUGCACCUCAAGCUGCAGACAAGCCAAAUUUAUGACAUACAUGACCCUGUGUGUGUUAAGGCGCAGCAGGGUGACAGCUGCAGGGAUGGUGGCCCCUGCUGCGGCCACAAAGCCUGCCAGCUGUCAAGGAGAUUGGUGCAGGUGUGUUCUGGGUUCUGGGGCCCUGCACCUCUGGCUGCUGACAGGCAAAGUUCAUGCCAUGGGUGCUUGUGGGACUGACUGUGUCUGUCUUGGGGCAGUUGAUUAUCUGUAUUGAUUCUUUCCUCUCCUUAGCCUGGUUUUGUAGGUGCUAAUUGAUGGCAAUUAACUGGCUACAUUAGCUAGGUCCUAUGUAUUGAGCUGGUCCCUGUGUAGCAUGAACCGAACUAAUGUAGCUAACAUUAACAUAGUGUAUAAUAAUAGUAAAAUAUAACCAUGUUAGUUUUGUCCUGUAAGCAACUUGAAAACUCCAUUUUGUAUCCUUCUGCUUGACAUAAGUGAAUGAACUCUGCAUAGUCUUUAUGUAUGACUGUGUGUAAAAGGGUGAAGGGUGAGAGAAUAGCAUAGAGACGGAAGAAGAAGAUUUAACUGUUUAUGUAAGCAACAAGGUGCCAAAAGUAAGUUACCAGUCAGUAAACUAAUUAAUGAACGGCUGAAGAAUCCCUUUGAAGCUCGAGGGUGCAAAGGAGAUAACAGAAGAAGAAAUUCUGCCAGAUGGGCAACAAGAACACUCUAAGUCUAAGAUAAGCUGAAGACAAAAGAAGAACAACCACAAAAACAGAAGCUGGGUAUGGAAAAACCGCAAAGCACUGAAACAAAGGAUGCCAAUCCCUAUAAAAGAACACUUUGAAAAUGCCAAGUUGGGUGAGUCUCUUUCUCUACUGCUGUUUCAUCGGAGCACAGAUGCAUCUGUUCACCCUGCUCCAGCUGUUAUCUUCAAAUCUGCUAUCUUCAAAUCAUCAUCCUCUGCUCAAUAAGCCCGAGUUGGCUACCCGGGGCUGAUAUUAAGCAGCUAUUGCUGGUAACUAUAUCUGGUGUAUGUGUGGACAAAAUGGUUGUUUUGUGUAUGUGUAUGCCUGUGUGUAAUGAUGCGUAUGAUGAUUUGUGUGUGUUUGUAUGAAUGGUGUACCUGAACCUCUAUGUCUAACUCAUGUAGUCAAUAAACGCGGCACCUUGCCUUAUCCUCCUUUAUAAAGUCUUGCUCCUGAUUUGAGCAAUUGGCAAUUUGCGUAACACCUGAGUGAAUCAUGAUUGAUUGGUAACUGGUAACACAGUAGC